rnacentral:lncRNA from 1 species
CUAAAAGGUAAAAAAAGACAGCGACGGGAUUAAAAAUUGAAAACGCACAGAAGGGAUAUAAUAUAAUAAAAUGUAAUAAUUAGUGAUAGAAUCGCUUACUCGCUUCAGGGCUAAGUGAUUAGCUUGAUGAAGCGAUUUUUGCGUCGCAGCUUAUCACCCAUCAUGUAAAAAAUGAAAGGAAUGGGAAUCAUGCCAAGAGCGAUAAAUCCGACCAAACUUCCUCCCCAAUGAACGCCAAGCUUUUUGAACAUAAUUUCAGAAAACAACGGAAAAGUACCUGCGAAAAUUGACCUUGUAAAAGUGUUUGCAGCGAUGGCAGAAGCCGCAAACUUGGUGAAUGUAUCAACCAGGUAAUUUAAACAUCCUUGAAAUAUCACGAAGAAGCCAGCUCCCAUCAUCGAAAUCCCAAUAAACGGAGCAAUCCAAUGUAUAUUGGGGGAAUUCGUCCAAGCAAAUACAAAUAUACCAGCAGGCAUCAGCCAACCUACUGCCAUCAUUAGUGGGAGCCUUUGCUCCGGUAGUGGUUUACCACCAUUUGCAGUGAUUAACUUUGCGUACCGCUGAUUCCACAUGAUGUUGAACGAACCUCCGAUUACGACUCCAGUAAACAUGGCAAUCAUUGGAAGAGUAGAAAUUGUGCCUUGCCAAUUUUUCGUCAUUCCAAAGGUAUAAGGAAUUGUCGUCAAAACUAAAUAAAGGAUACCGUAGACAUAACUGGCAAACAUUGCGAUGAAAAAGACGAUUGGAGUAGCCAACAUUGCAAAGGGUCGCACAAGAUGCAGCGUCACAAAUUCCUUAAAAUCCAAUCUAUAUUCAUCAUGAGCAGCAUGUAAGCCCCAGUUCUUUGUAGUCAGCCUCAAGUUUUUAGCCUUCGUAGCCAAGAUGACUGGGCCAAAGGUUUCUUUAAUGAGGAAUACGUCGAGUGUCAGGAUAAAACACUCAAUAAUUACAAUUGUCCAUAGCGGCCAUCUCCACGCAGUAUCCGAGUGUUCAGUAACCAGGCUACUGAUAAUAGGACCAAAGUCAGCUCCACUAACGACGAAAAACGCAUAGAAAAUCAACGCAGUACCUCUCUGUGCCGGGCACCAAAGAUCCGCCAUCACACCUCCUGAAGAUACGACAGGGGCGCCAGCAAACAGGCCAGCAAAAAAUCGUGUACACAUGAUGGCCGCCACGCUGUCAGAGCUGGCAGUUCCUAUUGUGAAGAGAAUGGACAGGAAAAAAGGAACUAAGACGCCGAUUUUUCUCCCAUUCACUUCAGAGAAGGGCGCAAAAAUCAUAGGACCAAAUGCGAUCCCCAAAAUGUAUAAACAAGUGGGUAAAACGGCAACCUCAUGACCAAUUGGAUAUGCAUUGACGAGAUGAGAAGUAGUAGGUGACAUGGUAGUACUAUUGAACUGUGCAGCAAAUGUUGUCAAUCCAUAAAGUGCUGUAUUCAAUAGUUUAAUUGAAACUGGCCAAUUCAACGGUUUCUCAGGAUCGUCUUCGCCAUUGAAUGUUACAAGAAAAUCGCUGUCAGGAUAGGAGUAUAAUUCCUCCUCAACGUCUUCAUCGCACUUCUCUAUUUCGGAGGAUGAGACGCUGUUCAAAUGAUCAUUUUCUUUCAUUGUUAUAAGAAGGAAAUUAAUCACAGACGAUGUCUAACACUUUUUCCUAGUUAUAUUUUUCGUAAACCUCGGUGUUAGUGCUUUCAGAGCUGCUAUUUCAUCCCAGUCUAGUUAUUUGUAAACAGCAAAUUCAGUACGAGGCCGAAAUUUUCAUUAUUGUUGACAGCCUCAGCAUCGCCCAUACCAUCUAUCUAGUCUGGACUCUAAUGUUAACAAAAAAGCAUUUGCUGUAAAAUAUUA